GUGCUCACUUCAGCAGCACACAUACUAAAAUUAGAAUGAUACAGCAAAGAUUAAUGUGGCCCCUCCCUGCACAAGAUUGACACACAAAUUCGUGAAGUGUUCCAUAUUUUU
ensembl:snRNA U6 U6 spliceosomal RNA